rnacentral:rRNA from 1 species
CUCCUGGAAACGGGUGGUAAUGCCGGAUGUUCCACAUGAGCGCAUGCGAGUGUGGGAAAGGCUUUUUGCGGCAUGGGAUGGGGUCGCGUCCUAUCAGCUUGUUGGUGGGGUAACGGCCUACCAAGGCGUUGACGGGUAGCCGGCCUGAGAGGGCGACCGGCCACAUUGGGACUGAGAUACGGCCCAGACUCCUACGGGAGGCAGCAGUGGGGAAUAUUGCACAAUGGGCGCAAGCCUGAUGCAGCGACGCCGCGUGCGGGAUGGAGGCCUUCGGGUUGUAAACCGCUUUUGUUCAAGGGCAAGGCACGGUUUCGGCCGUGUUGAGUGGAUUGUUCGAAUAAGCACCGGCUAACUACGUGCCAGCAGCCGCGGUAAUACGUAGGGUGCAAGCGUUAUCCGGAUUUAUUGGGCGUAAAGGGCUCGUAGGCGGUUCGUCGCGUCCGGUGUGAAAGUCCACCGCUUAACGGUGGAUCCGCGCCGGGUACGGGCGGGCUUGAGUGCGGUAGGGGAGACUGGAAUUCCCGGUGUAACGGUGGAAUGUGUAGAUAUCGGGAAGAACACC